CCUACGGGAGGCUGCAGUGGGGGAUAUUGCACAAUGGGGGAAACCCUGAUGCAGCGACGCCGCGUGGGCGAAGAAGUAUUUCGGUAUGUAAAGCCCUAUCAGCAGGGAAGAAGAAAUGACGGUACCUGAGUAAGAAGCACCGGCUAAAUACGUGCCAGCAGCCGCGGUAAUACGUAGGGUGCAAGCGUUAUCCGGAUUUACUGGGUGGAAAGGGAGCGCAGGCGGCACGGCAAGCCUGAUGGGAAAGCCCGCGGCCCAACCGCGGGACUGCAUUGGGAACUACCGGGCUGGAGUGCCGGAGAGGUAGGCGGAAUUCCUAGUGUAGCGGUGAAAUGCGUAGAUAUUAGGAGGAACACCAGUGGCGAAGGCGGCCUACUGGACGGUGACUGACGCUGAGGCUCGAAAGCGUGGGGAGCAAACAGGAUUAGAUACCCCAGUAGUC
rnacentral:rRNA from 1 species